rnacentral:misc_RNA from 1 species
AGUUAAAUAGUACGUGAAAUUGUUGAAAGGGAAACGAUUGAAGUCAGUCAUGCUAGUGAAAAAUCAGUUUGACGGGUUUUGAGUUCGGGAGUAGAGGCAGGGUCAAACCGUUUCUCUUUUGGACUUGGGAUUUGUCGGAUGUACUUUUUCUUUGGCAGGUCAGCGUCGGUUUCGGAGGUUGUAAAAUACUUGGGGGAAAGUAGCUCUGCUUCGGGAGAGUAUUAUAGACCCUGGGGGAUGCAGCCUGUGGGAUCGAGGAUUGCAGCAAAUGCCUUUGGCUUGUCGCCUGAUCUCUGGAUGUUACCUUGCUUGUGACAACAUUCUUGCCACCGGUGAGUACUGAUGCCCAUUAGGUUAGAACGAUCAAAAAUUUGCUAAGGAUGCUGACGUAAUGGCUUUAAA